UGACAGGCCCCUGUGGUCACGGUUUCCUCAUCUGCCACGUAGGGACUUGGAGUCACAAAGCUGGGGCGAGGGCCCCGGCCUGCAGGGCGGGUCGCAGGCUGUUCGUGUGACGUUCACAGGGAGGCACCACACGCAAGGGCAUGCAGCCCCAGCCCUCCAGGCUAGCCCUGUGCUGCCGGUCCCUGCCCCUUCUGGUUCCUACCUGCCAGUGGCCGGUGACAGCUUCACAGCAGUGGAAGCCUCACCCAUAUGCAGCUGGACGGUGGCAGCUGUCCGCCGCUGAGCUCCAGCCCAGGGCCCACAGGGUUCAGCAGAAUUACAGCCAGGGCGUGGAGGCGCUGGAGAGGGCCAAUUUGGAAGGGGAGACAGCCAGGAGAGUGUGGUGACACCUCCAUCUGGGCCUGCCGCUGCGCUGGGUUCAGCAGCGCUUAUUUUACUUUGAGCUUCUAGCAGAGGAGUUCUGCUUGGCUGUCCCGGCCGUCCAGUGUCCUGACUUGACGUGACCCUUCUGUUAGGCCGAAGACAGGCUGGGCUGGAUCCCUCAGGUCAGACAAGGGGGCCCAGGGAGGGCUGGUAAGCCGGGAGGCCGCCCAGCUGUUGAGUGGCAGGGCCAGAACUUGAACCCAGGUCUUCAUGAACCACGGCAGACACUGGUGGCCUGGGGUGAUUCUGGAUGCGAGCAGCAUCUGAUGUGUGGCACUGGCUGGAGGCACAGACAUCAAGCAGGAAGCAGCAAUAUUCCCUGACUUGGAGUCAAUCGCUCUGAUGUGAAUUAUAGCCACACCAGCUCUCUUCUGAUUAAAAUUUACUUGGUCAUCUGCAGGUCGUCUUCUACUGAUCAUUGUUCUCUUUAGUAGAGUUGUCAUUCUUCUUUAUGUUUAUUGUAUCUUUGGAUGUGAACUAGAUGUUGUGAAAAAAGAACAGCGUAAACUGAAGUAGCCCAGGUCUGCCUGCUGCUGCAUCCUCAACAAACAUUCUGUGGGGGAGAAUUGGCAGGCAGGGAGUGCCAUCUACAUGUGGCCCAAUCAGAUGCCAACCCAUCAUGCCAGCCCUUGUGGUUGUUACAAAUGAGCUUGGUUUUCCCUUAGUUCAGCAAUUACCCCUAUUGCAGGCUUGCUUCCUCACCUGUCCAUGUCCCCAAGAACAAAAACAACCAUUGGGUCUCUAUUCCUUUGUGAAAGGUUUGUCUAUCAUAAGAACUUUGUUCAUCUAGAUUUCUCUGCAUCCUUCACUCUUUGAGGGGUUUAUAAAAUUUGCUUUUGUGGCUUAAUAGUUUCUCAGUGUUCUGGUGGAAUGGCUGCCUUUCAUGACCUCUUCAUCCCAACUGAGUCAGGUGAUUGUUCCUCUAAUGCAAGAUCAUCUCAUUUUCAAGUUGUCAACAAAUUCUAAUGUUUCAAAA